AAGACUGUGCUUCACAGGAUCAUUUCUGUAGGCAAGUUUUCACCACGAGUUUUCUCCGAAAGGAAAAGAUUUCCCACCCACGAUGAUGAGACGUAGCGAUCAGUCUGGAGCGUGAAACUUGAUUCGGAGCUGCUCUAUCGACUCUCGGUAGAGCCUCGAAUCGCUGAUGAUCGGGCUCUUUUGCAAAGGCUGGUCGCUGUCUGAGUGGU